UACGUAGGGCGCAAGCGUUAUCCGGAAUUAUUGGGCGUAAAGAGCUCGUAGGCGGUUUGUCGCGUCUGCCGUGAAAGUCCGGGCUCAACUCCGGAUCUGCGGUGGGUACGGGCAGACUAGAGUGAUGUAGGGGAGACUGGAAUUCCUGGUGUAGCGGUGAAAUGCGCAGAUAUCGAGGAGGAACACCGAUGGCGAAGGCAGGUCUCGUGGGCAUUAA
rnacentral:rRNA from 1 species